AUUGAACGCUGGCGGCAUGCCUUACACAUGCUAGUCGAACGGUAACGGGUCCUUCUGGAUGCCGACGAGUGGCGAACGGGUGAGUAAUAUAUCGGAACGUGCCCAGUAGUGGGGGAUAACUGCUCGAAAGAGCAGCUAAUACCGCAUACGACCUGAGGGUGAAAGGGGGGGAUCGCAAGACCUCUCGCUAUUGGAGCGGCCGAUAUCAGAUUAUCUAGUUGGUGGGGUAAAGGCCUACCAAGGCAACGAUCUGUAUUUGGUCUGAGAGGACGACCAGCCACACUGGGACUGAGACACGGCCCAGACUCCUACGGGAGGCAGCAGUGGGGAAUUUUGGACCAUGGGUGCAAGCCUGAUCCAGCCAUGCCCGCGUGCAGGAAGAAGGCCUUCCGGUUGUAAACUGCUUUUGUCAGGGAAUAAAUCUUCCCGGCUAAUACCCCGGGAGGAUGACCGUACCUGAAGAAUAAGCUACGGCUAACUACAUGCCUACACCCGGGGGCAAUACGUUAGGGAGCGAGCGUCUUAUCUGAAUUUCUGGGGCAUAAAGCGUGACGCCAGGCGGCUUUGCAAGACAGAUGUGAAAUCCCCGGGCUCAUUUGGGAACUGCAUUUGUGACUGCAAGGCUAGAGUACGGCAGAGGGGGAUGGAAUUCCGCGUGUAGCAGUGAAAUGCGUAGAUAUGCGGAGGAACACCAAUGGCGAAGGCAAUCCCCUGGGCCUGUACUGACGCUCAUGCACGAAAGCGUGGGGAGCAAACAGGAUUAGAUACCCUGGUAGUCCACGCCCUAAACGAUGUCAACUGGUUGUUGGACGGCUUGCUGUUCAGUAACGAAGCUAACGCGUGAAGUUGACCGCCUGGGGAGUACGGCCGCAAGGUUGAAACUCAAAGGAGUUGACGGGGACCCGCACAAGCGGUGGAUGAUGUGGUUUAAUUCGAUGCAACGCGAAAAACCUUACCUACCCUUGACAUGUCAAGAAUUCUGCAGAGAUGUGGAAGUGCUCGAAAGAGAACUUGAACACAGGUGCUGCAUGGCCGUCGUCAGCUCGUGUCGUGAGAUGUUGGGUUAAGUCCCGCAACGAGCGCAACCCUUGUCAUUAGUUGCUACGCAAGAGCACUCUAAUGAGACUGCCGGUGACAAACCGGAGGAAGGUGGGGAUGACGUCAGGUCCUCAUGGCCCUUAUGGGUAGGGCUGCACACGUCAUACAAUGGCCGGUACAGAGGGCUGCCAACCCGCGAGGGGGAGCCAAUCCCAGAAAACCGGUCGUAGUCCGGAUCGUAGUCUGCAACUCGACUGCGUGAAGUCGGAAUCGCUAGUAAUCGCGGAUCAGCUUGCCGCGGUGAAUACGUUCCCGGGUCU
rnacentral:rRNA from 1 species